GAAGAAGUGUGCCCUCAGCAAAAAAAAUCGCGGCUAAUUUCUAAAAAACCAGCCUUGAUCGGGGAUUGCGAUUCCAGCGUGCGGGAAAAAGUUAUCCGAGGCCGUCUCAACUGUGUCAAUAAGCGAAUAAGACCAGGGGAACGUUAUCCCGGUGUGUGUUACCACUCUCCGGCUGCCCGCAAAGCCGUUUCGAUACCCAGGCACCCAAAAUCGAGAUGAAACCAUCCAAGAAAAUAGGCCACAGCAAACGGCCGGUGCCCCCAAUGGAAAAGAAAACGUCGGUUCUACUCGGGGCUGCCGUCUUACCCCGAGGCCACCUCCUUCCUUAUCAUUCCCAGCAAGAAAAGGCAUCAUCAAGAUUUUUUUCUGUUACCCGGAGGAAACGAAAUUCGGCUCGUCGAACAUCGGAAAGUAUUGCUUGCCUACUCAUCAAAAAAGGCAACGGGCCAUGAGCUUUUUGAUUCUGCCGCUGAGAUUGGUGGACUUUCCGGCAAGGCAGAUAUCAGCAGUUUGCGAGCAGGAAGAACCGUUUUCGAAUCGAAGCAAGUUCUCCGUAGCUAUUACACAAUUUCAUCAGGAACGUUGCUAGUUAGCGGUCAGUGACGACAAUUGUGCUGCUGCCGGAACCCGGAAUUUUGCCACUGGGAUCGAUUGACAGCAGACCACAGCGGAUUCCUAUAUGGUCCCCCUGCGAAAAGAGCCACUGCCCACCGAAAAGCAGGAAACAUUAGAUGCCCGUUCGCCGUAUAACAAAAAAAAAAUGCGCAGCUUUCUUUCGUCCUACCUCUUGUCGCUGAGAUCGGUGGGUUUUCCGGCUGGGCAGUCUUCAGCAGCAGCAGGAUAAGUGGAUCGAAGUGUUAUUGUUUUCCUGUUCGGAGGGUGAACGAGUCAGAAAUAAAAAUGUAUAAUUGUGAAAUCAAAUAAAUAACAAAAUGUAAUA